CAGUCGCCGCGGGAAUACGAAGGGGGCUAGCGUUGUUCGGAUUUACUGGGCGUAAAGCGCACGUAGGCGGAUCGAUCAGUCAGGGGUGAAAUCCCAGAGCUCAACUCUGGAACUGCCUUUGAUACUGGAGAUCUUGAGUUCGGAAGAGGUUGGUGGAACAGCUAGUGUAGAGGUGAAAUUCGUAGAUAUUAGCUAGAACACCAGUGGCGAAGGCGGCCAACUGGUCCGAUACUGACGCUGAGGCACGAAAGCGUGGGGAGCAAACAGGAUUAGAUACCCGCGUAGUCCCUGUCUCUUAUAC
rnacentral:rRNA from 1 species